rnacentral:rRNA from 1 species
GACAGAGGGUGCAAACGUUGUUCGGAAUUACUGGGCGUAAAGCGAGUGUAGGCGGUCCGAUAAGUCGGGUGUGAAAGCCCUGGGCUCAACCCAGGAAGUGCACUCGAAACUGCCUAGCUAGAGUCUCGGAGAGGAAGGUGGAAUGCUUGGUGUAGAGGUGAAAUUCGUAGAUAUCAAGCAGAACACCUGUGGCGAAGGCGGCCUUCUGGACGAUGACUGACGCUGAGACGCGAAAGCGUGGGGAGCAAACAGG